UACGUAGGGUGCGAGCGUUAAUCGGAAUUACUGGGCGUAAAGUGUGCGCAGGCGGCUUCGCAAGUCGAGUGUGAAAUCCCCGAGCUUAACUUGGGAAUUGCGCUCGAAACUACGGAGCUGGAGUGUGGCAGAGGAAGGUGGAAUUCCACGUGUAGCGGUGAAAUGCGUAGAGAUGUGGAGGAACACCGAUGGCGAAGGCAGCCCCCUGGGCUAACACUGACGCUCAGGCACGAAAGCGUGGGGAGCAAACAGG
rnacentral:rRNA from 1 species